GAUGAACGCUGGCGGCGUGCCUAAUACAUGCAAGUCGAGCGAACGGACGAGAAGCUUGCUUCUCUGAUGUUAGCGGCGGACGGGUGAGUAACACGUGGAUAACCUACCUAUAAGACUGGGAUAACUUCGGGAAACCGGAGCUAAUACCGGAUAAUAUUUUGAACCGCAUGGUUCAAAAGUGAAAGACGGUCUUGCUGUCACUUAUAGCUGGAUCCGCGCUGCAUUAGCUAGUUGGUAAGGUAACGGCUUACCAAGGCAACGAUGCAUAGCCGACCUGAGAGGGUGAUCGGCCACACUGGAACUGAGACACGGUCCAGACUCCUACGGGAGGCAGCAGUAGGGAAUCUUCCGCAAUGGGCGAAAGCCUGACGGAGCAACGCCGCGUGAGUGAUGAAGGUCUUCGGAUCGUAAAACUCUGUUAUUAGGGAAGAACAUAUGUGUAAGUAACUGUGCACAUCGUGACGGUACCUAAUCAGAAAGCCACGGCUAACUACGUG
rnacentral:rRNA from 1 species